rnacentral:rRNA from 1 species
AUUGAACGCUGGCGGCAGGCUUAACACAUGCAAGUCGAGCGGGGUGAUGGUGCUUGCACUAUCACUUAGCGGCGGACGGGUGAGUAAUGCUUAGGAAUCUGCCUAUUAGUGGGGGACAACAUCCCGAAAGGGAUGCUAAUACCGCAUACGUCCUACGGGAGAAAGCAGGGGAUCACUUGUGACCUUGCGCUAAUAGAUGAGCCUAAGGCGGAUUAGCUAGUUGGUGGGGGUAAAGGCCUACCAAGGCGACGAUCUGUAGCGGGCCUGAGAGGAUGAUCCGCCACACUGGGACUGAGACAAGGCCCAGACUCCUACGGGAGGCAGCAGUGGGGAAUAUUGGACAAUGGGGGGAACCCUGAUCCAGCCAUGCCGCGUGUGUGAAGAAGGCCUUAUGGUUGUAAAGCACUUUAAGCGAGGAGGAGGCUCUUUUGGUUAAUACCCAAGAUGAGUGGACGUUACUCGCAGAAUAAGCACCGGCUAACUCUGUGCCAGCAGCCGCCGUAA